GGUCCGUUGGUCAAAGGGGUUAAGACACCGCCUUUUCACGGCGGUAACACGGGUUCGAAUCCCGUACGGACUA
rnacentral:tRNA from 2 species